GACGAACGCUGGCGGCGUGCUUAACACAUGCAAGUCGAACGAUGAACCUCGAAAUGAUUUCUUCGGAAAGAUUUUUGAGAGGAUUAGUGGCGAACGGGUGAGUAACGCGUGAGCAACCUGCCUUAGACAAGGGGAUAGCCUCGGGAAACCGUGAUUAAUACCCUAUGAGACUCCACUUACGAGUGUAAGAGAAGUUAAAGCUAUUGCGGUCUAAGAUGGGCUCGCGUCUGAUUAGCUAGUUGGUGAGAUAAAAGCCCACCAAGGCGACGAUCAGUAACCGGCUUGAGAGAGGGAACGGUCACAUUGGAACUGAGACACGGUCCAAACUCCUACGGGAGGCAGCAGUGGGGAAUAUUGCACAAUGGGGGCAACCCUGAUGCAGCGACGCCGCGUGAGCGAUGAAGGAAUUCGUUUCGUAAAGCUCUGUCCUUGGAGAAGAUAAGGACGGUAACCAAGGAGGAAGCACCGGCUAAAUACGU
rnacentral:rRNA from 1 species